rnacentral:lncRNA from 1 species
GCUUCCUUUUUUGGUUUAGUUGUAAAUGAUAAUAGAUCGAUCUCUUGAAUUUGUUUUUUAAAUAUGGUUAUGGGUUUAUCUGAUGGAUUGAGAAAUAUAAUGGGGGGGGGGUAUCUGCCAUUAACAAUCGUGUCUCAGAGUUGACUGUUAAAGAAAAACAACCACCCGGUGUGAGAUUAUCCAACAAAUAUGUGGGUAUUUUCACC